ACUCCUACGGGAGGCAGCAGUGGGGAAUAUUGCACAAUGGGGGAAACCCUGAUGCAGCCAUGCCGCGUGUGUGAAGAAGGCCUUCGGGUUGUAAAGCACUUUCAGUAGGGAGGAAGGUAGUGUAGUUAACACCUGCAUUAUUUGACGUUACCUACAGAAGAAGCACCGGCUAACUCCGUGCCAGCAGCCGCGGUAAUACGGAGGGUGCGAGCGUUAAUCGGAAUUACUGGGCGUAAAGCGCAUGCAGGCGGCCUGUUAAGUCAGAUGUGAAAGCCCGGGGCUUAACCUCGGAAUUGCAUUUGAAACUGGCAGGCUAGAGUCUUGUAGAGGGGGGUAGAAUUUCAGGUGUAGCGGUGAAAUGCGUAGAGAUCUGAAGGAUACCAGUGGCGAAGGCGGCCCCCUGGACAAAGACUGACGCUCAGAUGCGAAAGCGUGGGGAGCAAACAGGAUUAGAUACCCUGGUAGGAUAGCG
rnacentral:rRNA from 1 species